UACGUAGGGUGCGAGCGUUGUCCGGAAUUACUGGGCGUAAAGAGCUCGUAGGCGGUGUGUCGCGUCGGCCGUGAAAACCUGCAGCUUAACUGUGGGCUUGCGGUCGAUACGGGCAUCACUGGAGUUCGGCAGGGGAGACUGGAAUUCCUGGUGUAGCGGUGGAAUGCGCAGAUAUCAGGAGGAACACCGGUGGCGAAGGCAGCCCCCUGGGCUGAGAUUGACGCUCAGGCACGAAAGCGUGGGGAGCAAACAGG
rnacentral:rRNA from 1 species